rnacentral:rRNA from 1 species
AGCAAGCAUUACUCGAAAUGAUUGGGCGUAAAGUGUAUUUAGGUUGUUUUUUACCUACAAUAUGUUUUACCAAGCUUACCUUUUUUUGAAUGAAUUUUAUAACAACACUUGAGUUUUUUUAAAGAAUGCACCAUAUUUUACUUAGGUGUAGCAACCAAUGAAAUAAAAUAGACUUUCAACUGGCGAAGGCAACUUUCUAAAAAAAACUGACACUAAAAAUACGAAGGCAUAGGGAGCAAAUUGGAUUUGGUACCCAAGUACCCUAUGCUGUAAACGAUGAACUUUAAAUAAAAAAAAAUAAAAUAUUUUUUUUUAUUUCAGCUAACGCGUAAAAGUUCCGCCUGGGGAUUACGAUCGCAAGAUUAAAACUCAAAGGAAUUGGCGGAGAUCUAUACCAACGGUGGAAUAUGUGGUUUAAUUCGAUAGUCCACGAGAAAUCUUACCAGAACUAGUUAUAUUUAAAAAGAGGUUAAAUUUCUAAUUUUUUUUAAAAUUUUUUAUUAUCUUUUUGUAAUAAAAAAACUCUUAUACAGGUGCUGCAUGGCUGUUGUCAGUUCGUGUUGUGAAAUGUCUGGUUUAUUCCAGAAACGAACGAAACCCUUAAUUUUAAUUAUUUAAAUAUUUUAAAAAAAUUAAAAUAACUGUUUAUGAAUUAAUAAAAGGAAGGAAAGGAUAACAUCAAGUCGUUAUGGCCCUUAUGUUCUGGGCUACACACGUAUUACAAUAGUAAAUACAAAAAGAAACAAAAACGUAAGUUUAAGUUAAUCUUUAAAAUUUAUUAGCGUUCGAAUUGUUUUCUGAAACUCGAAAACAUGAAGGUGGAAUCGUUAGUAAUCGUUAAUCAGAAAGUAACGGUGAAUUGCAUCUAGAUCU